rnacentral:lncRNA from 1 species
GGGGCUCUCAGAGCUGGCUGUCCUUCUGAGCGGUUGUCUUCCUUCACUCCCCACCUCACCUACACUCCUGCAAACCCUCUGGAAUAAAGGAGCUCAAGAGAGAUCCCGCCUUGGUGGAAGCUCCUUAUUCUCCGGCUAUCCGGCUCUCGGAGGACCUGACCCUGUGAUAAACCAGAGUGGUCACAGGACCCCAGGGCCUCAAAUGACUACUAAUUAAAUAAAGAGGGGAAAUUUUGGAGUUGAACAAUAGGAAUUUGUUCAUAGCAUAAUAGUAUUUCUUCCAGAAAUAACAUAACAUAACAAAGUUAACAUAAACCCCAAAUGAAUAUGCCACAAACAUUGCAGGCCUUCUGAAGAAAUGCUUUCCCAAUACUGAAUGAACUUUUCAGCUUGCCCACUGGACUCGACAUUCACUAUCUUCACAAGCUUAUUUAUGCCAAGCAAUGAAGGGAAGAAACAAUUUAUUUCUGAAUUUGACUAUAGCUACAUCUCAAAGCUAUCAAGAGAAUUUAGAUUUAAGGAUGGACAUGAUUCCAUAGCUUACUUCAAAGUUUUACCAGAUUCUCUGUUGUGCUAAACUGUGACAGCUGGCCAUAUGCAGAUUUGAAACUGGACCAUUCAUAUGGCACUUGAAGAUGAAUGCGAAAAACAUUUUUAAAUACUGCUAUUGUUUUUAAAAAGUUGAAAAGAUACAGCAUUUACUGCUUAAAGUCAAAGUCAGAAAGUUACUUCUGUGCUUCAUAAAAACCAGAAUAGCACAAAUAAUUCAAUGAUAAGAGGUAAUGAUUUAAACUGUAAGAGGGUAGAUUCAGGCUAGAUAAGGAAGAAAUUUUUUAUGGGGAUGGUGGUGAAGCACUGUUCCUUAUAGAAGCUAUAGAUGACCCAUUCCUGGAAUUAUUGAAGAUCAAGUUAGAUGUUGCUCUGAGCAACCUGCUUUUUUUUUUGAUGUUGCUGCUUAUUUCAGGAUGUUGCACUAAAUGACCUUUAAAGGUUUCUUCCAAUGCAAAGCAUUCUAUGAUUCUUUGAGUCUAUGAAGUGUUAAGUUCGUGGUUCUCAGAAUAUCUACUAAUAGGCAAACACAACAUAAAGGCUGCAUAACAAAGUGACUAACUCUAAUUUCCCUUAACCUUUAUAUUUUUAAACUACUUUUUACCUUUGUACUUGCACAUUUAUUCACUGACUAUGUUGUGAUCCUUGUAAGGCUUUGAACAUUCUCCUCUACAAUACUUUUAUACCUAGAGUAGGAUAUUACAGAUGCAAUGAAAAACAAACAAACUGGAGAGCAGCUCUGCCAGAAGGGAGAUGAACAUCCUGGUGUAGAGCAAUUUGAGUGAUUCAGCUCUGUGCCCUGUAGCAUGAAAGGCCAACAGCAUCCCAGCCUGAUCUGGGAUAACAUAAUAACAUGAGCACAGGUUAAGGGAAGUGAUUAUCCUGCAGCUCUCAUUAGCCCACAUUUAGAGUACUCCUGCCUCCAGUUUUGGACAUACUGUAAAACAAACAUCGACAAACAGGAGCAAGUCAAGCAGAAGGCCACCAAGAGGGUAGCCAUAUCACCCAAAAAUCCCUUAUUAGCCAUCUUCUGGUGGGGCACUAACUGACCUCUGCAGCUCUGCUCAGUCUCACGUGGGGCUCGCACCUGUGUGACAGACUGCCACCUUCUCCCAUGGGCACAGGGUGACAUUCAAGUGCUGCUCUCCAGCCACACAUGCCCAUAUGCUGACAGGUAGAGUCAUGUCCUGGCUUGAUCUUGGACCUAGCCUCUCUUCAUAGAUUUGUAAGAUGCCCUGGAACUGGGGUUGCUGUUACUUUCCCAUCAGUGCAGCCCAUCUGCACCGUGCACCUGCCCUGCUCCCUUCCUGGAGUGCUGAGAUUGAUUGCUGUGGGAUUCCUGUCCUGAAGGAGAUGGGUUACCCUUGUCUUACCUGGGGAGAUCCUGGUCCUCUCCUGUGCUCUGGCACCUAGUCGUGAUAACAUUUUCAGUUGGCUGGUUCUCUGCACUCACAACUCAAACAUUUAGACUUAGGGACUGGAAACAAGGCAUUGUCACGUGGUGACAAAUGUGUGGAGUUCACAGCUAUCCUUGUAACUACAUAGAAAGUUCAAGCUAAAAACUCUGACAUGUCUUUCUUGAAUGGAGAAAAAUAAUAUGAGACAUGAAUACUUAAAGACAUCUAUUUGAAUAAUCCAUAGAAAAGGUGCCAAUGGAAAUCUUAGUUUAAUGUAGCAAAACCAGUCUUGCUACGUACACUCCUUUCAAGGUUAGACAUGUUGCAUUUAUAAAUUAUACAAGAAGACACUAAGAUGAAACACAGAGGAUAUGUCUUUAAAUAUACUUCUCUCAUCAUCUAGAAGUAUAAAAAAUCAGAUCAAGACAGAAUUUCCUACAGUUGAAAAAGAUUAUUUUUUAACUAAGCACAAACUAGAUAUCUAAUAUAAACUAGCCAAGAAAUUUCUGUAAUUUGAUAUUGAAAGUGAGGAAUGCUGAUAAGCUACAGACAUCAUAUUCUGUGCACUUCCAUCAGCAAUUUUAGUGCAGUUUCAACUAAAACGAUAUAAACAUAAUCCUAGAAUAUCUAUUGAGCAGGGAAAAUCCAAUGUUUUACAAGACAUGCUUCAUAAUUACAUACAAUGUAAUUGUAAAAUUGUAAAAAAAAUGUAGAGAUUAUGUCAUCAUCUAUGAAACAAAGCAAACUAUUUUGAUAAAUGUCUCAUUUAAAAUAUAUUUGGUUGACUUUUUUAUUAAAAUAAAGAAACAGAAUCAAGUCAGAGCUUGUUUUAUCCUGCUAUGGAUUCUAGAAGGCACAGCUGAUUUACUGCUGCUGAUUAGACAAGGGCAAAAAAAAGUAAAAAGCUAGCAAUCAAUUUGUUACAGCUUCACCUACAGAUAUUCAGAGAUGGAAGGCGGAUAUCUGCCUUUUUUUCAUUUGUUGCAUAUUGCUGCAAGCUGUGGAAUUCAUAGUUGCUGGCCUUUGGAUGUGCUCCCACUCUGUCAGUGACACGCUGGCUUCAAUGGGCAGGGUAUCAGCACCUCUCAGGAAAGGCUUCCUGCUGUGUUGAAUAAUAGUUGCUGUUGCAUAAACCCUUGUUUGCAAAUCCUACUUCUGGUUUCAGGGUGAUUCACUUGCCAGAGGUCCAUGGAACACUCGGUGUGUACUCACCCAUCCUCAAAACAGAGUGUUGGCCUGCCAGGCCGAAACUGUAUAAAUGUGAUAUAAUCUACUAAAUACUCAUUACAUGUGUAGUGUCACAAUGUAUUAGAUACACCAGCAAGCACCAGCUUACUUUCUAGGGCUAGGAUCUAAGCUGGCCAUGAUUUUACCAGCAGCAGAUAGCAGUCGAGCUUAUAUUGAAAUCUGAAAAAAAUAAUUGAUCUCCAUUCUCUCUCUCUCUUUCUCUUAUUUUAAAAUAUUAUUUAAAAAAUUAUUUUCCCCCAGUACACUUUUUGAGAGAAUCUAUUUGUUAAUGUAUGUAUACUUAUUCACCGACCUGACUAGCUGGUCUUUCCAGGCAAGAUGUGUGAGCUCUAUUUACAUAGUUAGAAGCAGUUUGGGAUGGACUCUUAGAGUCAAAAACUGUAUGGCAGAUGGCUCUUUGUACCCAGUUAUUAUUGCUGUGCUGAGUAAUACUUAAAAGACAAUUUUAGUUUUGAAAUAUACUCUGCUUCAAAAAGAGCAAUGCUGUGUAAAGUAUCUCAGGCGACUGAGAUCCAGGAAUAUAAAGCAGUUUCUGAUAAGCAAAAAUUCCACUUUAGAGGACUUCUAAAGAAAUCCCUUGGUCUCUCCAUAAAAGCUUCAAAGUAAAUAAUGGAAAAAUUGACAUUUUUUGCCUUGGGAGCUCUACUUUUGCCUCUUCCUAAAUUCUUCAGCUCUAUAGUUUGCAAUGACAUGGUGUCCCCCCAGAUAGUCUCUGACUAAUAGGUAUUGAAAAAAUAUUACUGGACAGGACAGUUCUAUUACAAAACAACACAGGAUUUUAACGACCUUUUUCUGACAUUAGAACAACAAUAAUACUUUGGCUUUUCCCUUGAGGUCUAACUAAAUAACAAAGCCAAAAUUAUAAAAUAUGGGGCAACUUAUACCCCACUCAGAAAAAAACUCCCAAGUAUUAAAAUGAGGAAGUGAGAAAAAUAUUGUAACAGAUUUUAAUAUUGAAAUUACCUUUGGCAUCAGAGAAAGGUAAAAAUAACAGUAGAAUAAUCCAAUUUCACAAAUCAAAUCUGCACAACUUUUUUUGUCACAUCUAGGGAAAGGUUAAGAGGAAGAGCUGCAUCUCUUUGUACACUGGCUUUAGGAAACACUCCAUCACUUUCCUAUACAGAUGUCAACUCACUUAACCAGCCAUGGUGCUGUGGAGAGAAAUUUAUAUAAACCCUUCACCCUAAAAAAACCCUUUGCCUUAAAGAAACAACACUUAAGAAAUAUAUAAUCUUAUAAACUCUGUUUCAUGUCUGUCUUCUUGGGGAUUUUAAGGUUAAUAAUGUUUACCUUUAUCUUCUGCUGCUGCUUACAAUUUAGAAAGACUUCUUUUCUUUACUGUAGUAGAUAUAAACAUAAUCUAUCUAUAAUAAUUAAAUCAUCAGCCUGUUCUGCUGUCUCAAGGUAAAGGCUGAGCUUCUAGGCCAUGGAUUAAAAAAAUCUGUUUUGAAGGGUUUUUUUGUUUUUUGCUUGCAGGAUUUUAUUUAGUUUUAUCAGUUUUCUUCACCAUGUAAUCCUACCAAAAGCUGUGUCAGCACAGCCUAGGGUAGUAGCAUAUUGCAGCAUGGGAGAAGGAAUGUACAUUGUCUGUGAGAUACAGGAAUACUUUAAAAUGAAACUUGUCCUAAGAACAGGUGCAUAAACACUUCUGGGAGCAGAAGUGAGGAAAAUGUUGAAGACUAAGGAGAGAAAUACCUCUAAGGUGGAAGGGUGGCAGAGGAAUCAAUGCUGACUUCAGGUGUUUCUGCCAUGGAGUACUCUGCCUGGUAGCUGUUGUGGAGCUGCACCAUGGAACCUGGCAUGUGUCCAGGUUCUUGCCCAGUUUCUUUGGAGGCAGUUUUGCAGGUCCUGAAUACCAAUCACUACCAACCUCUCAGAAGAAAAAAACGAACAAACAAACAAAAAACCAGGAUACCUCUAAGCUUAAUCUAAACUGUUUAAUCUAAACUGUUAAGGGGCUCUUCAGUAUCUGUGAAAUAGAUUUUGCAAUCAGAUUUUGUUAUUGCAACUUCAUUAAAUUGAUUUUUUUAACAUUUG